rnacentral:lncRNA from 1 species
CUCUAUCCAUCAAUCGUCGACAAACCCUAUCGACCAGCUCCAGUGAAGGACGAUAACUUUCGGUGAAGGACGACCAUUAUCAGCUAACAUACCGCAAUCUCUGAGAUAGGCGAUCGGUUUUUUACGCUGUUUGAUGUUUGCUAUCACUAUUCGAUUAUCACUUUUUUCUUCCCUUGUCUGAAAAUUUAUUUUACUGCUCAUUCUAUUAUC